rnacentral:rRNA from 1 species
UACGAAGGGGGCUAGCGUUGCUCGGAAUUACUGGGCGUAAAGGGCGCGUAGGCGGUUUGCUAAGUUGAAUGUGAAAACUCUGGGCUUAACCCAGAGCCUGCAUUCAAUACUGGCAGGCUGGAGUUCUGGAGGGGAUAGCGGAAUUCCUGGUGUAGCGGUGAAAUGCGUAGAUAUCAGGAGGAACACCGGUGGCGAAGGCGGCUAUCUGGACAGAAACUGACGCUGAGGCGCGAAAGCUAGGGGAGCAAACAGG